ensembl:snRNA U6 U6 spliceosomal RNA
GUGCUCACUUCAGCAGCACAUAUACUAAAAUAGGAAGGAGACAGAUAAGAUUAGCAUGGCCCCUGUGCAGGGACGACACAAAAAUUUGUGAAGGGUUCUGUAUGACU